ensembl:snRNA U6 U6 spliceosomal RNA
GCGCUCGCUUCGACAGCGUGUAUACUAAAACUGGAACGGUACGGGGAUGAGCAUGGCACCCGUGCAAGGGUGACACACAAAUUUGUGAAGUGUUUCGUAUUUUU